GACGAACGCUGGUGGCGUGCUUAACACAUGCAAGUCGAGCGGUAAGGCCCUUUCGGGGGUACACGAGCGGCGAACGGGUGAGUAACACGUGGGUGACCUGCCUCUAGCUCUGGGAUAAGCCUGGGAAGCUGGGUCUAAUACCGGAUAUGACCUCGCGGUGCAUGUUGCGGGGUGGAAAGCCUUGUGCGGCUAGGGAUGGGCCCGCGGCCUAUCAGCUUGUUGGUGGGGUGANGGCCUACCAAGGCGACGACGGGUAGCCGGCCUGAGAGGGCGACCGGCCACACUGGGACUGAGACACGGCCCAGACUCCUACGGGAGGCAGCAGUGGGGAAUCUUGCGCAAUGGGCGAAAGCCUGACGCAGCGACGCCGCGUGAGGGAUGACGGCCU
rnacentral:rRNA from 1 species